rnacentral:rRNA from 1 species
CAACUUUCAACAACGGAUCUCUUGGCUCUCGCAUCGAUGAAGAACGCAGCGAAAUGCGAUAAGUAAUGUGAAUUGCAGAAUUCAGUGAAUCAUCGAAUCUUUGAACGCACCUUGCGCCCUUUUUCGGAAGGGCACGCCUGUUUGAGUGUCAUGU